rnacentral:rRNA from 1 species
AGCCGUUGGAGGAGGAGUGGCGGACGGCUCAGUAACACGUAGUUAACCUGCCCUCAGGACAGAGAUAACCCCGGGAAACUGAGGAUAAUCCCUGAUAGAUGAGGAAGCCUGGAAUGGUUCGUCAUCUAAAGGCCGGUGGAACCGUGCUUCCAGCGUCGCCUGAGGAUGGGGCUGCGGCCGAUCAGGUAGUUGGUGAGGUAACGGCUCACCAAGCCUAUAACCGGUACGGGCCGUGAGAGCGGGAGCCCGGAGAUGGGCACUGAGACAAGGGCCCAGGUCCUAAGGGGCGCAGCAGUCGCGAAGACUCUGCUAUGCGCGAAAGCGUGACAGGGUUACCCCGAGUGCCGUCCGCUGAGGAUGGCUUUUCUCCGGUGUAAUGAGCCGGAGGAAUAAGGGGAGGGCAAGUCUGGUGUCAGCCGCCGCGGUAAUACCAGCUCCCCGAGUGGUGGGGGUGAUUAUUGGGCCUAAAGCGUUCGUAGCCUGCCCGGCAAGUCUUCCGUUAAAUCCAACGAUCUAAUCGUUGGGCUGCGGGAGAUACUGUUGGGCUAGGGGGCGAGAGAAGCCGACGGUACUCGCGGGGUAGGGGUGAAAUCCUAUAAUCCCGGGAGGACCACCAGUGGCGAAGGCGGUCGGCUAGAACGCGCCCGACGGUGAGGGACGAAAGCUGGGGGAGCGAACCGGAUUAGAUACCCGGGUAGUCC